rnacentral:rRNA from 1 species
UACAGGGGGGGCAAGCGUUGUUCGGAAUUACUGGGCGUAAAGCGUGCGUAGACGGUUAUGUAAGUCGGGUGUGAAAGCCCCGGGCUCAACCUGGGAAUGCCAUUCGAGACUGCAUAGCUAGGGUGCGGAAGAGGGAAGCGGAAUUUCCGGUGUAGCGGUGAAAUGCGUAGAUAUCGGAAGGAACACCAGUGGCGAAAGCGGCUUCCUGGUCCAGCACCGACGUUCAGGCACGAAAGCGUGGGGAGCAAACAGG